CUUUAUUUCAAGCCACUUACGUUAUUUUGAAAGAGUUAUAGCAUGCCAUAUUAACAAACAAAAAGUUUUAUUUGCUGACAACCCUAGCUAACUCUCAAUGCUUAACAUAUUUAUGAUAUUUCUCUCCUCUGCUACUUCUAGUUACUCCAUUUUUGCUUACUUUGUAGAAGUUGUUUGACAAUAUUGCUGACAUUUAAGUAUUCUUGUAUAUUUCUUUAUAUUGGUGAUUUCCUUAUUUCGUUUUUUCUCCUUUGCUGCCUUUUUAUUCUAAAGGUUUAAGAGUCAAAAAAUGACUAGAUUGCCUUAAUUACAAUGGUUUGAAUGAGUUAGUUUGGUUUUCUUUUUAAAUCUGUGUUCUCUUUAUAUCCUAGCCUAGUUUCUGGGAGGUGCAAGGCACUGAGUGACUCAUUGGGACCUGCUGAGUCAUUAGAGAGAGUGCCUGAGGGACAGAGGCCAGACUGCAACUUAAGCUAUCUGGAAUCUUACCUCUGCUGUCUUACUGGCUGUCUACAUGGGGCUACAUUUUAACUAUGGCUUACAGAAAUCAUUGCCUGUCAACAGCCUCCACCCCCACCUCCCCACCCCCACUCUUGGGAAUGGACUCUGACAAACUCACCAUCAGGAAAGUUGAUGUUUCCCAUCUAGGAUGGAAGAAUGGGAUUCUGAACUUUGUCACUGUUUCUGAAACGUCAUCAGCUCCUGUAAUUGCAUGGUUGGGACAGAUCUAUUUAAAUUGCUUUGAAGUUUUCCCAGGAAAUUCCCACAAAAUUGUGCAACCCAAGGAAUUGAGGUGGAAAAAAUGGCACUGGCAUCAAUUUGCUUCUCACCACGACCUUGUGAAGGAGGCAGGUAGCCACUCAUAUUUAUGAUUUAAAAAAUGAGGGAUCAACAAUUAAAGGGGUAACAGUUCUAGGUGCUUGGACUAUUAGUUUUAUCAAAAACACAGUCGGUAUAGGUUCAUUGACAGCUGGCAUUCAUCAUCUGAAAUUAGAUCCCCCUUUGAAAUUAUUCUUUCUCUCAUUUUCCUUGCUUUUACAUAGAAGUUUUUUCUUUUUUUUUUCUGUAAAUAGUUAGAUAAUGGCAUGGGAUGACACUGCAAAUAGGCAAUAUACCAUACAAUCAAUUCCAUGUAUUAAUUCCAGAACAGUUUCCUCAUUAAUGGAAAUACAGGAUGCAUUCUGGUAUCAUUAUUGUUGACAUUUCUCUUUGCUUUUAUUAUAUUCAAUAAAAUAUUGUAUUCAACAGCUUACCUCAGAGAGAAGUUUGAUGAGAUUUGAUUGUCCUUUAGUUUUAUCUUUAUCACCAAGACAGGACCCAAAACCUGUCUUCCUCCUAGUGUGGCAGGGCUGUUGCAAUGAAGCACACAGACAACAAACACAUCUUUCUAAAGCUCUCCUUCAUCUGAAAGUAAAGAUGACAACUUGAUAUGAAUAAAACC
rnacentral:lncRNA from 1 species